ACUCUAAUAGUUUAUAAAAACAUUGGUCUUGUAAACCAAAAAUGAGGGCUCCUCCCCUCUUAGAGUU
rnacentral:tRNA from 1 species